GUUAGCGUGCUUGCAGUGGUGAGGUGGCGACUGAAGAGGUGGGCUUACUGUGAAUUUAUCAGACUGUACUGCAGUCCAGCAUCUGCGAAGAUCAUCAAAACCAGCACAGCUCCGUGAUCUGGCCCUCAUGGCUGGCAGCCUCCAUGCAAUGUACAAGUCCAGGAAGGCUCGGUGUAAAGCUCCGAGGAAGCCCUUCUCUUCUCUGCACUACGACACACACAUGACGGUCCUCCCUGUGGAAGGCCUCGCUUCAAAGCCCCCAUCAACCAUCGACACAACAGAUGACAACUAUACACGAUCUUAACAGAUGUCCAAAACAUCGACGGACCCACCCAAACUUUCUACAAAGAGCCAAAGAACCAAGCAAUGCAAGGAAACGCAACGACAUGCAAAGUGGAGACAGGCUUUAAGAGCGAGCUGGAUGCCAUUGAGGGGAGAGAGAGUUAUGAGACAC